CCCACCUGAGGAUCUGUCUUUUUCAGCCAUCUAUUUCCUGUGUUUGAGGGGUGGAAAAUACACUUGUCACUUAAAUCUCACUGGAUUGACUGCUUCAAUUUGACUCUUUUAUACUCUUGCUUUUGCCUGUCGUUUUUUCCUGUUAACGUUACCACCACGGAAAUGUUUGCAAUGAACUGUCAUGAACCCGGUAAUUGCUGAAAUGGGCUCAAUGGAAUACAUCAUCUUUCCUGUUGCAUUUCUAAGAACGGUAAAGCUUCAUAAGGGAUUUAACACACUCUUGACACUUAUAUCACAACAAAGAAGAAAUAUAACUUUAUUUUGAUGUACAAGCAUGUUGAUUUUUAAUCAAGGGUAUCUGCUAUUGACAGACUUGUUGAAUUAUGCAAGAGAAACGUGACAACAGUAAAAAAUGAAGCAGUAUAGACAGUGCAGGUGAGUGCUGGUAGGGUAGACAGAGCAGGUGAGUGCUGGUAAGGUAGACAGAGCAGGUGAGUGCUGGUAAGGUAGACAGAGCAGGUGAGUGCUGGUAGGGUAGACAGAGCAGGUGAGUGCUGGUAGGGUAGACAGAGAAGGUGAGUGCUGGUAGGGUAGACAGAGAAGGUGAGUGCUGGUAGGGUAGACAGAGCAGGUGAGUGCUGGUAAGGUAGACAGAGCAGGUGAGUGCUGGUAGGGUAGACAGAGCAGGUGAGUGCUGGUAAGGUAGACAGAGCAGGUGAGUGCUGUUUGGGUAGACAGAGCAGGUGAGUGCUGGUAGGGUAGACAGAGCAGGUGAGUGCUGUUUGGGUAGACAGAGCAGGUGAGUGCUGUUUGGGUAGACAGAGCAGGUGAGUGCUGUUUGGGUAAACAGAGCAGGUGUUUGGUGGUUGCAGCCCUGUUCCACCCUUUUAUGUUAAUGUGUUAAUAUAUGCAAAUACACCCGGUGUUUUUAUGUGCAAUAGUUCAGUCAAUAUCUAAUGGAUUACAACAAUUCUAAAAGUUUGGAGUAGCUACGUCCAGUUUCCAACUGCUGCUUU
rnacentral:lncRNA from 1 species